AGAUUCAAAGAGGCUGGAACCUACCUCUCCUGCUGACUGUGAAUGAAGACUGCAGUAUAUUCAGCUACAAGUCCAUCUGCUCUUUAACUUUUUUUUUUUUUUUUUAAUUCUAUCUAAGAGUGUUUUUCCUUUGAAGUUUCCAGCACCAUUUAUGAAGGCUCAAAAGGAGUAUUAUUCAUAUGUUUCAGAUGAGGAAAGCUGAACUGUCAAAGUAACAUCUGACUUGUGAGUAGCCAGUAUUCUCCAAGGCAUCAGCAUUUAAGAGGACCUGAGAAAAGAUCCUGUGCCUACCAGGAAAUUUCACUGAUCUCAUCAAGCCACAAAACUCAGGAAGGAGGAAAAAUCUGCACAAAUUAAGAAGUGCCCAGUAGAUCAUGCUGUCUUGUUGAAAACUCCAGUGGUAACUGGGCUUCUAUGGGAUUAUUUUUAGCAGUAAAAGAGUAGAUGGUGUAAGAUAAGUGAAGAGGGAUUCCAUAAAUAGCUGCAUUUCAAUUGCCUGUUUGACAUAAACUUAAUUGUUACAACAAACGGCACAAAAUGACAAAAAUGAACACCUUUCUACUCAGAAGAUAAACUGUUUUUAAAUAGAAAGGAAUGAAACCUAGGUCUAUCAUUUUUAGAAUCCCAGUGAACUAGAAUGGACAUGACUGGAGAAGCAGAGACACCUGAGCAGCUUUGAAGACAUUUCUCUGGCAUGUUCUCACUGACUCUGAGACCUAUUUCCAACCACAGUGUCUGCUCAUCCUAGUGCAGCACCCUUCAAACCUACCUUCCCCAAAGGAUUCAGCAGACAUGGUUGAGAAAAGAGCGAAGCACAAGCUGGAUCUACAGAGCCUCAGGAGGAAUCCCAGGCAAACAAUGCACUUGGGGGAAGACAUCUCAACAACAGCCAUUUCAGUAUUAUGGAAUCAGCCUUCACUAUAAAGAGACUUAUGCACUGGGAAGAAUUCAAGGAACUCUGUGAGUAUAUAGCAAGAAUGAUAGACAAGGUCUUACCAGACUGAAUAUAUUGCUUGUUCUGCCUGUGUCUAGAUAUAGUGGUUGUUCAAAAGGGAGUAGAUAUCUGGAAAAAGGCUAUGAAUGGGAGUGAUACUCUGUUCCUUUCUGUUUCCCCUGCUCUUCAAGUAACAAUCUCUUAUCUCAGCCUCAUUGCCUGAUAGAUCAGGUAGGGUUGAUCCCCAAACCAAGGGCUUAUCUGGGUAGGUGGGCUUAAGAAGACUGAAACAAUUGCUUUAGAGAGGAAACUUUCUGUGGUCAAGGCAUAUGGCACCUGUGGUCAAUUCUAUUCAGACAAAUAUUUCAUCUAAAAUGGCCUUUCCUGUUAAAGUCUCUGGGUAGUUAUGGCUUUGCUUGGAUGUCCUGCCCUUUUCUUUUGGGGUUGAAAUAAAUAUCUGAGGUUCACAGUCUUUGUAUCCCUA
rnacentral:lncRNA from 1 species